rnacentral:lncRNA from 1 species
AUUUGGAAGAGGGAAUAAAGUAACAAAUAACAAGGUAACACAUCAUUUUUGGUGUUUGGACCUCAUCAAUUCAUGUGCACUUCUUGAGACAGUGCCCUGUGGAAACCUGUUUAAGUCACACACAAGGAAUUGCACAGAAUCCAGUAGUUGUCAAACUGAAGUUCUACUUUGUGAAGAAUUAACUUUGCCUCUCAAAACCAGCUGUGGAUCUGCAAAAUUACUUAUGGACUGGGGCAUUCUGAACACAUAUGGAAUUUUUUAACUGGACAUCACUAAUACCACACCAUAAUUGUGCCUAAAAUGGGAGGUACAUUGGUUUUGAUCUGGAACCGUGGCAAUCAUUCUUUCAUUCACCACAUGUAUCCAAGCAGUACCU